rnacentral:lncRNA from 1 species
GGAGGAGCGUCUGAGAGAAGACUCUGGAGGCCAUUAAACAGAAAACAAAAUGAAAUGUAAUCCGUAGUGUAAGAAAUCUGAGGAGCAGCUAUAUAUACAUGUAUCAUUGGGUCGGGUUAGACGACCCAGUACCGGAAAUAAUGGGGCUCAGACAGAUUGGGCUUGUGUAACACAUUUGGCCCAAAUAACAAACAUAUCAUCACAACCCAUACAGUGUAUACUAGAGAAUACAAUAAAUAUACAGUGUAUAUACAUAAUGUACAAUCAUGUAAGCUCUUUAAUCUCAACACCCCCCCUCAAGUUGGAGGGGGAAACCACCUGCAACUUGGACAACAGUGGAAGAAGCAUAGUGCCAGGCAAGGGCUUAGUGAGCAGGUCGGCCAGCUGACGAGAAGUAGGAACAUGAAGCAAUUUGAGAAAACCAGUUUGCAGCAAGUCCCGAACAAAAUGGCUGUCCACCUCGAUAUGUUUGGUACGUUCGUGAAAAACAGGAUUGUUAGCAAUAUGAACAGCAGCCUGACUAUCACAAUAUACAGAAAUAGGAGAAGGAACAGAUACACCAAGAUCAACCAACAAACAAGAAAGCCAAGUCAAUUCAGCAACAACUUUGCUGAGGGCUCUAUAUUCUGCCUCAGCAGAAGACAGAGAAACAACAGGUUGUUUCUUCUAAUUUGAGGAAUUGACUCAGAUGUUGGACUGCAAAGCAUAUGUCAGGCCUAGUAUGAGUAAGAAACAACAUAUUACCAACUAGACUCCUGUACUGGUCAGGAGAGGACAAAAUGUCACCAGAAUCAGCAUGAAGUUUGACAUUAAUGUCCAAAGGAGAAAUAACAGAGGAGACAUUAACACAGUCAAACUGAUGCAACAAAUCAGAAAUAUACUUAUGCUGAUUAAGGAGCAUCCCACCAGGGACAACUGUCAUCUCAAGGCCCAAAAAAUAAUGCAAAGAUCCCAAAUCUUUGAUUUUAAACUGAUCAUCCAGAAACAGUUUCAAUGCAGUAAAUUCAUCACUGUCAUCCCCAGUAGUAUGAUGUCAUCCACAUAGACUUCUACCACCACAAGGGAGCCAGGUUUACCUUUGAUGAACAAGGAAUAGUCAUUCAAAGAAUGUUUAUACCCUCUGGAAUAAAGAGCAGAAGACAACUUGGCAUACCAUUGUCUGGAUGUUUGUCUUAGCCCAUACAGGGAUUUCUUGAGUUUACAGACCAGAGGAGGAGAAGUAGAAGAGGGAGUAGAAACAGAACUAGAAAUAGGAGCAGAAACUGUCAAACCUGGGGGAAGUUUCAUGUAAAUUUCCUCAUCCACAUCACCAUGAAGAAAGGCAUUAUUGACAUCAAGCUGAAAAAGAGGCCAAUGAUUCUUGAUAGCCACAACAAUAAGGCAUUUCACAGAAGUCAUUUCAAUCACUGGAGAAAAAGUGUCUGUAAAAUCAAUCCCCUCAACCUGGGUAUCACUCCUAAUAACCAACCUUGCUUUAUACCUUUCAACACAGCCAUCAGCCUUGUAUUUUAUUUUAUAAACCCAUUUACAACCAAUGGGUUUCUUACCAGGGAUAGCCACAGCAAUAAGGCAUUUCACAGAAGUCAUCGUAAUCACAGGAGAAAAAAUGUUAGUAAAAUCAAUACCCUCAACUUUUGUGUCACCCCUAAUAACAAGCCUUGUUUUAUAUCUUUCAACUAGACCAUCAGACUUGUAUUUGAUUUUAUAGACCCACUUACAGCCAAUGGGUUUCUUACCAGGAGGAAGAGAAACAAUAUCCCAAGUAUGGUUAGCCAUACCCUCAACUUGUGUAUCACUCCUAAUAACAAGCCUUGCUUUAUAUCUUUCAACUAGACCAUCAGACUUGUAUUUGAUUUUAUAGACCCACUUACAGCCAAUGGGUUUCUUACCAGGAGGAAGAGAAACAAUAUCCCAAGUAUGAUUAGCCUCCAAAGCAUCAAACUCAUGUCUCAUUGCUUCCUCCAUGCUGGGACAGAUGCAGUUUGAGAGUAAUACAUAGGUUCAGAUUCCAAAAUGGAAGAAGAAGAACCAGAAAAGGCGGGCAGUUGACAGACAUAAUCCUUAAGAUAGGAAGGAGGAUUAUGCUGUCUAGUGGACUUUCUAGGUGGGGGAAGAGGAUGUGAAGGAGGUAACACAGAAGCAGGGAGAUCAGGAUUGAAAGAAGGAAGAGAAGAUGGACUAGUAGCAGAAAAAUUAGGUGCAGGAGGAGCAGAAGUAGAAGGAAGGACAGUAGAAUUAGGGGUAUCAUGUAUGGGAAAAACACUGUCAGUUAAAUCAUCAGGAAGAGGAAUAAAAGGAAAAGGUGAAGAAGAAGGUUGAGCAGAAAUAGGUGUAGUCUUAAAAGGAAAAUAUGUUUCAUGGAAGAUAACAUCCCUUGAGACAAAACAUUUUCUGGUGACCAAAUUAUGCAGUUUAUAACCCUUCUUGGCAAAGGGGUAACCCAGAAAACAGAAGAAUGGGCUCUAGGUUUGAGCUUGUCCCUUUGAGGAAUAGGGACAGCUGCAUAAGCUAGGCAUCCAAAUGCCCUCAAAUGGGAAUAUGAUGGAGCUUUGCCAUAAAAAAUUUC